rnacentral:rRNA from 1 species
AUUGAACGCUGGCGGCAGGCCUAACACAUGCAAGUCGAACGGUAACAGGAAGCAGCUUGCUGCUUCGCUGACGAGUGGCGGACGGGUGAGUAAUGUCUGGGAAACUGCCUGAUGGAGGGGGAUAACUACUGGAAACGGUAGCUAAUACCGCAUAACGUCGCAAGACCAAAGAGGGGGACCUUAGGGCCUCUUGCCAUCGGAUGUGCCCAGAUGGGAUUAGCUAGUAGGUGGGGUAACGGCCCACCUAGGAGACGAUCCCUAGCUGGUCUGAGAGGAUGACCAGCCACACUGGAACUGAGACACGGUCCAGACUCCUACGGGAGGCAGCAGUGGGGAAUAUUGCACAAUGGGCGCAAGCCUGAUGCAGCCAUGCCGCGUGUAUGAAGAAGGCCUUCGGGUUGUAAAGUACUUUCAGCGGGGAGGAAGGGAGUAAAGUUAAUACCUUUGCUCAUUGACGUUACCCGCAGAAGAAGCGCCGGCUAACUCCGUG